GUAGUAUUACCUCCGUCCCAAAAUUCUUGUCUUACAUUUAUUUAGAUACGGAUGUAUCUAACACUAAAAUGUAACUAGAUACAUCCGUAUUUAGACAAAUUUAAGACAAGAAUUUUGGGACGGAGGGAGUACAAA
rfam:Triticum aestivum genome assembly, contig: Triticum_aestivum_CS42_TGACv1_scaffold_580071_7BL